GGUGGGGUGGUGCAGUGGGUAGCACUUUCGCCUCACAGCACUGGUCCUGGGUUCGAAUCCAGCCUGGGCC
rnacentral:tRNA from 1 species